UUGCUAAACGAUCCAAAGUGUCGGAUAUGGUUAAAUCAUAGAGGUGAUUUUCAAAUCAUUUACUUUUUAUAGAAGGGGCUGACCGGUUUUGACAGCGGGCAGAAGUGGUUUGUAAGCAUGCAGUGCGUCGUUGGCCGGCACUUUAAUCUCGGUUGAUCCAAUUUUAACUGGCGAAAAUAACUACGCUCUCGCUGCUUAAUCGAAGCACAGUAGAUUGAAGCUUAAUCC
rnacentral:tmRNA from 1 species